CCACUCUAGCAUUCUUGCCUGGAGAAUUCCAUGGACAGAGAAUCCUGGCAGACUACAGUCCAUGGGGUCGCAAAGAAUUGGACACGACUGAGCGACUAACACACACACUCAUUAUUAUACUUACUAUAACUAUUUGGGAGAGAACAGAAUGAGAAGUUGACCUUUGAAUCUGUUGAUUUCAGGUCAAACUCACUGCAGAGUAUCUUUGAAUUCUGCCAAAGUAAAUUUGCUUUUGAGGUUUUAGGCAUUGUGACUCACAAAGCAUGGGGCAAAAGGGCAAAAAAUCCAGGGGAAAUUAGAUCAGGUCUGUGCAUUUAAAGUCAGACAUGUUUUUAAAUGACUAUAAUAAAUGACUUAAGCAACUAACACUUUCACUUAACCAUCAGCUUUAUCUUUUGAAAUACAACUUUACAACUGAUUAUGAUGUUGAUCUAUGUAAUUGAUUUAUAGUUUAUAAAUAUAGUUCAUUCAGAUAUUCAUAACCCAUUCUGUGAAAAUUUGAGCAGUGUCCUUGAUCAAGUGUGUAACUCCUUAUGAGAUCACUAUUUCUACAGGAAAAUUAGCUUGAUUUUAUUUAUCACUACAUCAUGUACACCAGGUACAUACCUCACAGUAAUUCUUGGGCCUGCAUAUAUCCUUAGAGAAUGUUGCCAAACUGUAAGAGAAAGUUCCCAAACUGUAAUCUAUGUCUAUCUGAUACCAAAGUAAUUAGUUUGAUGCAUUCAUUGAGGAUAAGGGAUCAAACUGAUAAAAUUGGUUAUUUGUGCUUUCUGGGAAAAAAAUUUAGUUUAUUGAUUGAAAUUUUAACUCUGAUUGGCAGGAACAAUUUUAUAAUUUGCACCUUCAAUUUUAUUUCACAAUUUCUGCCUCCUGAUGUCUGCCCAGAGGUGAUUUCAGUUAUCUAAGCUCUUUUCUAAAGGGCCCUGGGAAGAUACCCUCAAAGAGGAAGUGACUUCAUUUUAUAAACAAACAAUAAACAGUCUGAUCACAGGCAGCAGGAAAGACAGAGUGUCUUAAGAGGGAAGGUGACAACAUCUGAAAUACUCUUGUGUACCCACUGUGUGGAGACCAUGCCUCAAACCACAAUGUUCCAGAUCUGGCUGAAAAUGAGACUGUCUUCCCCACUGUGUCACUGAAGGCUUGUCUGCAGAGCAUCUGUGCUGGUGGAGAGACUAGUUGGAACACACGACUAGGAAUAACUGGAGCACGCUGUCCCAGGGACAAGGGGCCUGUGAACUGAAUGACCCUGGAUGUAGGCUUGAAAUUCUCAUCCGUGGAGGAGCCAGGGAAGCCUGAAAGUUUUGAACAAACAUUUGCUGGGCUGCCCUCUGGACUUCAGCACUGUAAAGAAGAGCAACCCAUUAACACAAACCACUUCUACCUGUAUUAAAACCUCAGGUCAUGUGGAUCAUUUGUUACUCAUACCCAGAAGGGGCCACAAUUCAUCAAUGUCAUUGGGUCAACAGGAGUAAACCCUUGUAACAAGGACUCUGGAAGGAAGAAUGACUACCCAGGGAGAUGAAAUGUAAGUGCAGGGAUUUAGCAAGAUAUGAAAACCACAGAGAAGACCUGGAGUUAUUCUGGGGUUUCACAGUUGCAUCUCCUCAGAUAUCGGCAAGCCCACACCCACUCGUCUGCAUAGAGACUCUGUUCACCCACAACUGCUCAACACUGCCCUUACUGUGGGCAAGGGGUAGGCAGUGGGAGAAUGCAGUUCUCACUGAAACCCUUUAUUGGGGGCAAUGCCAACUAAUAACCACAUGGUAUUAUGGUUUUUCCAGUGGUCAUGUAUGGAUGUGAGAGUUGGACUGUGAAGAAAGCUGAGCGCUGAAGAACUGAUGCUUUUGAACUGUGGUGUUGGAGCCGACUCUUGAGAGUCCCUUGGCCUGC